AAUUCGCCCUUAGAGUUUGAUCCUGGCUCAGGAUGAACGCUGGCGGCGUGCUUAACACAUGCAAGUCGAACGAAGCACUCAGGAGCGACUUCGGUCAAUCCUGUUUGACUUAGUGGCGGACGGGUGAGUAACGCGUGAGGAACCUGCCUCGCAGUGGGGAAUAACAGUUGGAAACGACUGCUAAUACCGCAUAAUGCAGAGAGAUCGCAUGGUCUUUCUGCCAAAGAUUUAUCGCUGUGAGAUGGCCUCGCGUCUGAUUAGCUAGUUGGUGAGGUAACGGCCCACCAAGGCGACGAUCAGUAGCCGGACUGAGAGGUUGAUCGGCCACAUUGGGACUGAGACACGGCCCAGACUCCUACGGGAGGCAGCAGUGGGGAAUAUUGGGCAAUGGGCGCAAGCCUGACCCAGCAACGCCGCGUGAAGGAAGAAGGCUUUCGGGUUGUAAACUUCUUUUAUUAGGGACGAUAAUGACGGUACCUAUUGAAUAAGCUCCGGCUAACUACGUGCCAGCAGCCGCGGUAAUACGUAGGGAGCAAGCGUUAUCCGGAUUUACUGGGUGUAAAGGGCGUGUAGGCGGGACUGCAAGUCAGAUGUGAAAACUAUGGGCUCAACUCAUAGCCUGCAUUUGAAACUGUAGUUCUUGAGUGCUGGAGAGGCAAAUGGAACUCCUAGUGUAGCGGUGAAAUGCGUAGAUAUUAGGAAGAACACCAGUGGCGAAGGCGAUUUGCUGGACAGUAACUGACGCUGAGGCGCGAAAGUGUGGGGAGCAAACAGGAUUAGAUACCCUGGUAGUCCACACCGUAAACGAUGGAUACUAGGUGUGGGGGGUCUAACCCCCUCCGUGCCGCAGUUAACACAUUAAGUAUCCCACCUGGGGAGUACGAUCGCAAGGUUGAAACUCAA
rnacentral:rRNA from 1 species